ensembl:lncRNA novel transcript, antisense to PTPRB
CGAAAGUUAAAUGCACCACUGCAUCUAUUCAGGUUCAAGAACAGUAUUUCACAUUACCUGUGAAGCCCUCAAUGAAGGCUGACUGCUGUACAUCCCCGCUAAUCGUCAAGACAAGAAUUUUGUAUUGGCGGCCUGGUGUUAGGGAAGUAAAUCGAUACUCGGUUGCGGUAUUUACAAGGUGAAAAGGAGGAAAUACUUUCAUGUCAUUGAAGAGCAGCUGGAUCUCAUAUUGGUCGACAUCCCCAUUAGCUCCUGACCAAGUCACAUGCAAGUCCUCAGUGCUCCUGUUGCGCAAUGUUAGAUCCUUAACAGGCUCUGGAACUAGGGAGAAAAAUGAGAAGACAUUUCAGGAAAGGAACUGAUCAGAGUUUACCUACAUAAUAAUUUAUGAAUCACAUUCAAGGAACUGGCAACAUCUCCCUUCCCCAAAUAAACCACUAGCACUACUUCAUGCAUAAUUAAACAAGAAAAA